GGGUGCCAGUCACGUGGACCUGGGCACCAGAGGCCCGGCUGCUCAGGACUGACCGGCUGACCCACUCAGCAGAUCUCCCGGCCAGCCACUUUGCCUGACCCCCACGACCCAAGAUAGCCUGGCUCCAGCUCUGGCCCCUCCUCAGCUGUAUCUCACCUCUUCCCCGCACUGGGCAUUACUGUGAACUCUAAUAUCACGGUAAUCUAAAGGCGUCCCAGGUCUACAGCACUGCAGUCCAGGGUAGCUGGAAGCUGCAUUCAUGACGAGGUGAUCGACCGGAACACGAUACUCAUUUCCCAGGACACUCCUUUUUUUGUUGUGGCUGGAGGAAAAUGAGUUAUAACCUAAGUGGAAAAUGUUCCUUCCUUUCUGCUCCCUAAUUCUCAUAUACCUUGUUGAUUCUCCUUUUAAAUACUCAAGGAAAUGUUAGCCGUUCCCUUCCAGAGGCUACUUUGCUGGGGAGAUGAUGGUGUGGUCUGCUGUCGUGAGCUCCUAGAGGCUGCCUGCAUUUCUUAGCUCCUGGCCCCUUCGUCUGUCUUCAAAAUGCAUCACUUCAAGCUCUGCUUUCAUCGUUCCAUCUUCUACUGACUUUGACCUUCUUGCCUCCCUUGGACUUGUUUACAUGGGACCCAUGGGAAUAAUCCAUGGUCAAUGGGAAUAAUCUUCCCACCACAAGAUCCAUACUUUAAUCACACCAGCAAUGUCCAUUUUGCCAUAUCAGAAACACACUCUCCGGUACUAGGGAUUAAAACAUGAGCACCUUU